rnacentral:rRNA from 1 species
UGGGGGGUAUUGCACAAUGGGCGGAAGCCUGAUGCAGCGACGUCGCGUGAGGGAUGGAGGCCUUCGGGUUGUGAACCUCUGUUUCCGGUGGUGAAGGCCCCGCCCUUGGUGGUGGGGUUGACGGUAGCCGGGUAUGAAGCGCCGGCUAACUACGUGCCAGCAGCCGCGGUAAUACGUAGGGCGCGAGCGUUGUCCGGAAUUAUUGGGCGUAAAGGGCUUGUAGGCGGCCGGCCGCGUCCGUCGUGAAAUCCUCCGGCUCAACCGGGGGCUUGCGGUGGGUACGGGUCGGCUGGAGUGCGGCAGGGGAGGCUGGAACUCCUGGUGUAGCGGUGGAAUGCGCAGAUAUCAGGAGGAACACCGGUGGCGAAGGCAGGUCUCUGGGCCGUUACUGACGCUGAGGAGCGAAAGCGUGGGGAGCGAACAGGAUUAGAUACCCUGGUAGUCCACGCCGUAAACGUUGGGCACUAGGUGUGGGGCGUUCCCGUUCGCGGGGGCUCCGCGCCGUAGCUAACGCAUUAAGUGCCCCGCCUGGGGAGUACGGCCGCAAGGCUA